rnacentral:rRNA from 1 species
GUGGUUUAAUUCGAUGCUACACGGAGGACCUUACCUGGGCUUGACAUGUAGGUAGUAGUGAAGCGAAAGCGGAACGACCCUUUCGGGGAGCCUACACAGGUGCUGCAUGGCUGUCGUCAGUUCGUGCCGUGAGGUGUCGGGUUAAGUCCCGUAACGAACGCAACCCUUGCCCUUAGUUACAUGUGUCUAAGGGGACUGCCCGGGACAACUGGGAGGAAGGUGGGGAUGACGUCAAGUCAGCAUGGCCUUUAUGUCCAGGGCUACACACACGCUACAAUGGCCGGUACAAUGGGUCGCCAAGCCGUGAGGCGGAGCCAAUCCCCCAAAGCCGGUCUAAGUUCGGAUUGUGGGCUGCAAUUCGCCCAUAUGAAGCUGGAGUUGCUAGUAACCGCGCGUCAGCAAUAGUGCGGUGAAUACGUUCCCGGGCCUUGUACACACCGCCCGUCACGUCAUGGAAGCUGGCAACACCUGAAGCCAGUGAGCUAACCCGCAAGGGGGGCAGCUGUCGAAGGUGGGGCUGGUGACUGGGACGAAGUCGUAACAAG